rnacentral:ncRNA from 1 species
AUCGCAUAUGCGGGAGAGAGACGGCUAGUGUCUCGCCGAAGGAGCAACCGCCCCGGAAACUCUCAGGCAAAAGGACCGCAUACAGAAG